UGAUUCCAUUCCGAACUCAGAAGUGAAACGAAAUAGCGCCGAUGGUAGUGUGGGGCUUCCCCAUGUGAGAGUAGGACAUCGCCAGGC
rnacentral:rRNA from 1 species